GAUGGAGCGUUUAAACCUCCCGCUCCGCGUCCUUUCUCCGCUCCGCCUCAGUCUCCGCCAGGGAGGGCCACCCUGAGUCUGCGCGGUUUGUACGGCGACAAGUUUCACGUGCUACUUAAUGUUUUGGUUCAAAUAGUUGCUGGGCGUCUGCUCUGGGUGUUUUGCCUAUUGUUGGGGUACCUGCUCACAGGGAAACAUUCUGACCCUGCCCACCUGUGAACAGCUGCAAGAAAGAAGAAAAUACAUCCCCUCCCUGAGGCUGGCCAAACCAGGAGAUGUUUUGCAAGACUUAUGGCCUUUUUAUUUUACUUCCUCACCUCCUCCCCCUCUCUGUUCUGUAAAAGAAACUAGCAUCCAGACCCUGAUAAAUGGUAUUCUAGGACAUUAGUCUGCGAUCUUCUUGGAUGCUUGGCUUUCUGAAUAAAGUCCCUAUUCCUUGCCUCGACAUCUCAUCUCCCCAUUUAUUGGCCUGUCAUGUGGCAAGCAGAGUGAGCUUGGACUCAGUAACAAAUUUGGCUUAGCCAGCCAGGAGUCUUGCUGUUCAUGGCUAACCGGCCCCGAUCAGGCAAUUUUGGGGCAAGGCCCUAGCAGCUGCUGGGACAAUUUGUUUUAAGGAUCUUCCCUUCAAAAAAUUCCUUGAAGUGAUACUGGCUACCCCAGAGCUCGGCAUUUGGAGCAAGGAAUCGACAAACUUCUGCAAGUCGACAGACUCAAUCUUUGUAGGCUCACAGGGAAACACCCUGACCCUGCCCACCUGUGACUGGCUGCAGAAAAGAAGAAAUUAACACAUCUCCUCCCUGAGGCUGGCCAAAACCAGGAGAUAUUUUGCAAGACUUAUGGCCUUUUUAUUUUACUUCCUCACCUCCUCCCCCUGUCUGUUCUAUAAAAGAAAGUAGCAACCAGACCCCAAUAAGGUGGUACUCUAGGACGCUAGUCUGCCAUCUUCUUGGAUGCCCGGCUUU